rfam:Brassica napus, WGS project CCCW01000000 data, contig: 19416
AAUGGUGAUGAAUAACUAAGAUAUGAUUUAGGAAAAACUUACGUGUUGAGAAAAGUAUAAGACCAAUGAAUAUGAAAGCUACUUU